GUUAAAACAAGUGAGUCUGUUCGACUCUCCAAAAAUUACAUGAUUUGAGUUCAAAUCGGUGUAAACCAGAUUGGUUUCUAUCUUUAACACAAAACUCAUCAGUACGAAAGGACCAUGAAUACUAUUAAUUAAUAUAAUAUUGGCAGAAAA
rnacentral:rRNA from 4 species